CGUAGGGUGCGAGCGUUAAUCGGAAUUACUGGGCGUAAAGCGUGCGCAGGCGGUUUUGUAAGACAGAUGUGAAGUCCCCGGGCUCAACCUGGGACCUGCAUUUGUGACUGCAAGGCUAGAGUACGGUAGAGGGGGAUGGAAUUCCGCGUGUAGCAGUGAAAUGCGUAGAUAUGCGGAGGAACACCGAUGGCGAAGGCAAUCCCCUGGACCUGUACUGACGCUCAUGCACGAAAGCGUGGGGAGCAAACAGGAUUAGAUACCCUGGUAGUCCACGCCCUAAACGAUGUCAACUGGUUGUUGGGUCUUCACUGACGUCAGUACGAAGCUAACGCGUGAAGUUCGACCGCCGUGGGACGUACGGCCGCAAGGUUG
rnacentral:rRNA from 1 species